rnacentral:rRNA from 1 species
AAAAAUCUCGUAGUUGGAUUUCUGUCGAAGACGGUCGGUCCGCUCUAUGAGCGUGUAUCUGAUUCGGCUUUGGCAUCCUCGUGGGGAACGCAACUGUGCUUGAUUGCAUGGUGCGGAAUUCACGACUUUUACUUUGAGGAAAUUAGAGUGUUCACGGCAGGCAAGCGCCUUGAAUAUAUUAGCAUGGAAUAAUACUAUAGGACUUUGGUUCUAUUUUGUUGGUUUCUAGGACUAAAGUAAUGAUUAAUAGGGAUAAUUGGGGGCAUUUGUAUUAACGCGUCAGAGGUGGAAUUCUUGGAUUGC